CAGAACUUAAUUUGAGGCAUAAAAAGGAUGGCAAUGGAAGCACCUCUGAUGAUUAUGCUGAUUGCUUCCAUGAUAUCACCUCUCAUCGGAUCAUGCCCGGAAAAUACCGCUGCAGUGUUCUGCAAUGGAGCUGACUUCGCCCCGCAAGUUUAUUGCAAUGAUGUCGAUCCUAAUAACUAUCAGUGCACAAAGAAGCAUAAUGUAUGGUGUGGGUGCAGUGCUGGGUUCGCCCGUGCAAAGAACGACGCAUGUGUGCCUAUAUCACAGUGCGACAUUAGAAAUGAUGUUCGAAUAAUAUAUCCACUCGCAAUAAAACCUGAAUCAGAAGGGAAUCAGAAAGACCAAGAUGAGCAAGGAACAAAUAGUGAGCUCAGCGAACUUGGUAAAAAAGUUUU